rnacentral:rRNA from 1 species
CAGAUCAGAAUGCUGCGGUGAAUACGUUCCCGGGUCUUGUACACACCGCCCGUCACACCAUGGGAGCCGGGAAUGCCCGAAGUCGGUGACCCAACCGUAAGGAGGGAGCCGCCGAAGGCAGGCCUGGUAACUGGGGUGAAGUCGUAACAAGGUAAC